rnacentral:rRNA from 1 species
GAUGAACGCUGGCGGCGUGCCUAAUACAUGCAAGUCGAGCGAACGGACGAGAAGCUUGCUUCUCUGAUGUUAGCGGCGGACGGGUGAGUAACACGUGGAUAACCUACCUAUAAGACUGGGAUAACUUCGGGAAACCGGAGCUAAUACCGGAUAAUAUUUUGAACCGCAUGGUUCAAAAGUGAAAGACGGUCUUGCUGUCACUUAUAGAUGGAUCCGCGCUGCAUUAGCUAGUUGGUAAGGUAACGGCUUACCAAGGCAACGAUGCAUAGCCGACCUGAGAGGGUGAUCGGCCACACUGGAACUGAGACACGGUCCAGACUCCUACGGGAGGCAGCAGUAGGGAAUAUUCCGCAAUGGGCGAAAGCCUGACGGAGCAACGCCGCGUGAGUGAUGAAGGUCUUCGGAUCGUAAAACUCUGUUAUUAGGGAAGAACAUAUGUGUAAGUAACUGUGCACAUCUUGACGGUACCUAAUCAGAAAGCAACGGCUAACUACGUG